rnacentral:lncRNA from 1 species
GUAACUUUUUUUAUCAUUGAUUUGAUUAGACUUGAACAACAAUGACUGAAGGUACAUUUACUUCUGCAUUCAAAUUAAAAUUUUCUAUAUUCAGUGAUAUCAGAGCUAAUUUCUAUAUUAUUUUAUUCACUCUGUAUAGAUUUAUAAUCUUGAAAAAAAAUUGUAUAUGCCAUAUUUUAUUUUUAUUUUUGACAUGAUAUAUAAAAUGAAGAAAAAGACCUCCAUUUC